rnacentral:rRNA from 1 species
UGGGGAAUAUUGGACAAUGGGCGCAAGCCUGAUCCAGCCACGCCGCGUGAGUGAUGAAGGUCUUAGGAUUGUAAAGCUCUUUCACCGGAGAAGAUAAUGACGGUAUCCGGAGAAGAAGCCCCGGCUAACUUCGUGCC